rnacentral:rRNA from 1 species
AGUUAAAACUUUCAACAACGGAUCUCUUGGUUCUGGCAUCGAUGAAGAACGCAGCGAAAUGCGAUAAGUAAUGUGAAUUGCAGAAUUCAGUGAAUCAUCGAAUCUUUGAACGCACAUUGCGCCCAUUAGUAUUCUAGUGAGCAUGCCUGUUCGAGCGUCAUUUCAACCCUCA